rnacentral:rRNA from 1 species
UACGGAGGGUGCAAGCGUUGUCCCGGAUUUACUGGGCGUAAAGAUGCGUAGGCGGACAUUUAAGUCAGAUGUGAAAUACCCGAGCUUAACUUGGGUGCUGCAUUUGAAACUGGGUGUCUAGAGUGCAGGAGAGGUAAGUGGAAUUCCUGGUGUAGCGGUGAAAUGCGCAGAUAUCAGGAAGAACACCCGUGGCGAAGGCGGCUCUCUGGAACGCAACUGACGCUGAGACGCGAAAGCGUGGGGAGCAAACAGG